AAAAAGUAUGUUCAACAGUACAACCACAGAUAAGCAAGAUUUCAUUCAUUUAGUAGGUAUGCUCAAGGACCAGGAAUAGCUUCCUUCAAAAAGAAGAGAGGAUACAUACCAGAGUAUAGAAGUUUAACACUGGAAAGGUACUGUGACAUUAUGUUAAGAAGGUUCUGGAAUGCCAGGCUAAGAAGUACAGACUUUAUCCUAUAGGCCUGUGAUUCUCAACUAGGACCAAAGUUACAAAAUUGGAUGAAAACUUCCAGUGGAUACUGAAAAUACAACGAGUUAUGUGAGCACAUCUGUGUAGGAGGGGAAGAAGCAGUUCUCAUGAUCGUCUAGAAGACAAACCCUUGGACCACUGAAGAAUUCACCUGAAGAAUAAAUCUGUCUUACAGCAUUAAGUUUGUCUACAAUGUCUGCACAUGCAAUGGACAUUAGUGCCUAUUAAAUGCCAAGCACUAUAUUAAGCAAUGGGGAUACAGGGAUAAUUAAGUCCCAGUCUCUAGCCUGGGAGGCGUUCAGUCUGGGGAAGACAGAAAUGUAAAUAUUUAUGAAUCUAAUGAACUCAGUGCUACAGAAACACAGAAGUAUUUAACAUAUGAACAAAAAACCUACAGCCACCUAAAUGUUAAUGUCUUACUUUCAGUUUCAU
rnacentral:lncRNA from 1 species